rnacentral:tRNA from 1 species
GCCCUAAUAGCUUAAACCUUAAAGCAUUGGUCUUGUAAGCCAAAGCCGGAUAUUCCUUAGGACA